rnacentral:rRNA from 1 species
UACAGAGGUCUCAAGCGUUGUUCGGAUUCAUUGGGCGUAAAGGGUGCGUAGGCGGCGCGGUAAGUCGGGGUGUGAAAUCUCGGAGCUUAACUCCGAAACUGCAUUCGAUACUGCCGUGCUUGAGGACUGGAGAGGAGACUGGAAUUUACGGUGUAGCGGUGAAAUGCGUAGAUAUCGUAAGGAAGACCAGUGGCGAAGGCGGCUACCUGGACAAUUGCUGACGCUCAGGCACGAAAGCGUGGGGAGCAAACAGG